GAUCGGACGUGUGCCCUAGCUCCGCCAACGCCUCCCGCUUCUUAUCCGCCCCCUUGACCUGUUUCCAGAUUUGUUACAGAAAUGGCAAUCGAAGAAGAUGACGAGAUCAACACAAAUAUCCUAUUCACACUUCAGGAAGGUCUCGAUACUCACCAAGAAGAAGAACAACAGAAACAAUCACUCAUCGGAGACGCCUCUAUCUCACCGCCCCCGCCUUUGGAUCAUCGCCACCACCUGAACUCCAUCAACGCCAUGAUCGUCACCCGUCAGCUCCCUUCCCAAGGCCUCUCCUUCCAACUCUGGCCAGCCGCUUUCUCCUUCCUCUCCCUAAUAGACCGCGACCCCUCCCCUCUUCUCCUCCCCUCCUCCUCCUCUCUCCGCAUCCUCGAGCUUGGCUCCGGCACUGGCCUCGUUGGAAUCGCCGCCGCCGCCAUCUUGGGCGCCCACGUAACCCUAACCGACCUUCCUCAUGUCCUCCCCAAUCUCCAUUUUAACGCGAUUGCGAACGCCGAGGUUGUAGCCGCACGCGGCGGAUCCCUCGCCGUGCGUCAGCUCCGGUGGGGCGUCGUCGAAGAUAUCAUUGAUAUGGAAUCGGCGCCGGUUUUUGAUGCAAUAAUCGCGUCGGAUGUGGUGUAUUAUGACUAUCUUAUUGAGCCGCUACUGGAGACGAUUAGGGUUUUUGUGAAGGGGGAGGUGGGGUUUUUUAUGGCGCAUCUGAGGAGAUGGAAGAAGAGAGAUGCGGUGUUCUUUCGCAGGGCGAAGAAGUACUUUGAUGUGUUGAUGGUACAUACUGAUCCGCCGGUGACUGGCUCGCGAACUGGCGUCAGCAUCUAUCGUUUCACGGCUAGGAGAAGAUCACUAGAGGCUUCAUAGUUUGCUAGUAUCGGGUGCUAAGCUGUGUUGGGAGGUAGGUUCAGAAUGGCAUUCUCUAACAGAUAAACAAGAUGUCGGAGUUGGUUGUCGUGGGACGUCGUGUUCUGCAAAGUUAUUGUUCAAAAUACAAGCCUUCAUGAUCAAAUUAAAGAAGAAAUGCAAAUCACAGACCUGCCUAGCUGGUGUCAUUAUAAGAACAGUUCUACCAUCUCGAUCAUGAAAAUCUGCUCUCCUGGAACAAGUCUCGAGCUAGCUUCACUUGAUCAUAACCCUAGGCACAUAUUGGGUGCAACUUUAUGAGGAGAGUUGAUGGUUUUAAUCUUCUUUGGGACUUCAUAUCACAAGGAAGACAAUUGGAAUGGGCAUUUGCAUCAAACCAAGACAACUCAAGACAUAGAAUAGCAUGGUUCGAUUAUUGAAAUCACACAUCUUCAUAUUCAAAUGGACUAUGCAAUGCAUAGAUCUUUGCUAAGGCUUCAUUUGAGACAACUAUAGAUCAUUGUUUUUUAUUUUUUUUUAAAGAGAUUUUUGUACUAAAAAGUAGCUUUAUAAAGCAGCGAGAAAUCCUUCCCAACGAA